UGAUCCUGGCUCAGAUUGAACGCUGGCGGCAGGCUAACACAUGCAGUCGACGGUACAGGAUAGCUUGCUAUCGCUGACGAGUGGCGGACGGGUGAGUAAUACUUAGGGAUCUGCCUCUGUGUGGGGGAUAACUAUUGGAAACGAUAGCUAAUACCGCAUAAUGUCUACGGACCAAAGCGGGCUUCGGCUCGUGCGCAGAGAGGAACCUAAGCGAGAUUAGCUAGUUGGUGAGGUAAAGGCUCACCAAGGCGACGAUCUCUAGCUGUUCUGAGAGGAAGAUCAGCCACACUGGAACUGAGACACGGUCCAGACUCCUACGGGAGGCAGCAGUGGGAAUAUUGCACAAUGGGGGAAACCCUGAUGCAGCCAUGCCGCGUGUGUGAAGAAGGCCUUCGGGUUGUAAAGCACUUUCAGUUGUGAGGAAAGUUUAGUAGCUAAUACCUGCUAGAUGUGACGUUAGCAACAGAAGAAGCACCGGCUAACUCCGUGCCAGCAGCCGCGGUAAUACGGAGGGUGCGAGCGUUAAUCGGAAUUACUGGGCGUAAAGCGCACGCAGGCGGUCUGUUAAGCUAGAUGUGAAAGCCCCGCGCUCAACGUGGGAGGGUCAUUUAGAACUGGCAGACUAGAGUCUUGGAGAGGGGAGUGGAAUUCCAGGUGUAGCGGUGAAAUGCGUAGAGAUCCGGAGGAACAUCAAUGGCGAAGGCAACUCCCUGGCCAAAGACUGACGCUCAUGUGCGAAAGUGUGGGUAGCGAACAGGAUUAGAUACCCUGGUAGU
rnacentral:rRNA from 1 species